GACGAACGCUGGCGGCGUGCUUAACACAUGCAAGUCGAACGAAGUGGCGAACGGGUGAGUAACGCGUAAACAACCGGCCCUUCAGAGGGGGACAACAGUUGGACACGAAUGCUAAUACCGCAUACUGAAGGAGGGGAUUGCGUCGGAUUAGAUGGUUGGAGGGGUAACGGCCCACCAAGGCGAUGAUACGUAGCCUGUCUGAGAGGAUGAACGGCCCCAUUGGGACUGAGACACGGCCCAGACUCCUACGGGAGGCAGCAGUGGGGAGUCUUCCGCAAUGGACGAAAGUCUGACGGAGCAACGCCGCGUGAGUGAUGACGUCCUUCGGGUUGUAAAGCUCUGUUAAUCGGGACGCGGUACCGGAAUAGCAAGCCACGGCUAACUACGUGCCAGCAGCCGCGGUUCUAC
rnacentral:rRNA from 1 species